rnacentral:tRNA from 1 species
GCCGAGGUGGUGGAAUUAGGUAGACACGCUGCUUUGAGGGGGCAGUGAGCGCAAGCUCGUAGGGGUUCGAGUCCCCUCCUCGGCACCA